AGAGUUUGAUCAUGGCUCAGAUUGAACGCUGGCGGCAUGCCUUACACAUGCAAGUCGAACGGUAACAGGUCUUCGGAUGCUGACGAGUGGCGAACGGGUGAGUAAUACAUCGGAACGUGCCCGAUCGUGGGGGAUAACGAAGCGAAAGCUUUGCUAAUACCGCAUACGAUCUACGGAUGAAAGCAGGGGACCGCAAGGCCUUGCGCGAACGGAGCGGCCGAUGGCAGAUUAGGUAGUUGGUGGGAUAAAAGCUUACCAAGCCGACGAUCUGUAGCUGGUCUGAGAGGACGACCAGCCACACUGGGACUGAGACACGGCCCAGACUCCUACGGGAGGCAGCAGUGGGGAAUUUUGGACAAUGGGCGAAAGCCUGAUCCAGCCAUGCCGCGUGCAGGAUGAAGGCCUUCGGGUUGUAAACUGCUUUUGUACGGAACGAAAAGACUCUGGUUAAUACCUGGGGUCCAUGACGGUACCGUAAGAAUAAGCACCGGCUAACUACGUGCCAGCAGCCGCGGUAAUACGUAGGGUGCAAGCGUUAAUCGGAAUUACUGGGCGUAAAGCGUGCGCAGGCGGUUAUAUAAGACAGAUGUGAAAUCCCCGGGCUCAAUCUGGGAACUGCAUUUGUGACUGUAUAGCUAGAGUACGGCAGAGGGGGAUGGAAUUCCGCGUGUAGCAGUGAAAUGCGUAGAUAUGCGGAGGAACACCGAUGGCGAAGGCAAUCCCCUGGGCCUGUACUGACGCUCAUGCACGAAAGCGUGGGGAGCAAACAGGAUUAGAUACCCCGGUAGUCCAA
rnacentral:rRNA from 1 species